rnacentral:rRNA from 1 species
UACGUAGGGUGCAAGCGUUUGUCCGGAAUUAUUGGGCGUAAAGAGCUCGUAGGCGGUCUGUCGCGUCGAAUGUGAAAACCCGGGGCUCAACCCCGGGCCUGCAUUCGAUACGGGCAGACUAGAGUUCGGUAGGGGAGUCUGGAAUUCCUGGUGUAGCGGUGAAAUGCGCAGAUAUCAGGAGGAACACCGGUGGCGAAGGCGGGACUCUGGGCCGAUACUGACGUGAGGAGCGAAAAGCGUGGGGGAGCGAACAGG